AGUGAGCUUGGUUCGAUUUUCUCAGGUCUUGAAGUUCAUUUUGCGUCUUCGUAGAUCCAAGUUGAAAUAUCUGACCAGUGUUUUUCAGAACCAGAAACGUCUUCCUCGAAAGGUUCAAACCAUCUCGGUACAUCAGACUCACGCACUGAAUUUAAACAUCUAAGACUUAGGAGCUAAACUCAUCUUGUUCUGUCCUCUGUCCUCUGGCUU
rnacentral:lncRNA from 1 species